UACGAAGGGGGCUAGCGUUGCUCGGAAUUACUGGGCGUAAAGCGCGCGUAGGUGGCCCGGUAAGUCCGCUCUGAAAGUCACAGGCUCAACCUGUGAAAGCGGGUGGAUACUGCCGGGCUAGAGUCCGGAAGAGGCGAGUGGAAUUCCUGGUGUAGCGGUGGAAUGCGCAGAUAUCAGGAGGAACACCAACGGCGAAGGCAGCUCGCUGGGACGGUACUGACACUGAGGCGCGAAAGCGUGGGGAGCGAACAGG
rnacentral:rRNA from 1 species